rnacentral:rRNA from 1 species
AGUGAACGCUGGCGGUAGGCCUAACACAUGCAAGUCGAACGGCAGCACAGGAGAGCUUGCUCUCUGGGUGGCGAGUGGCGGACGGGUGAGGAAUACAUCGGAAUCUACUCUGUCGUGGGGGAUAACGUAGGGAAACUUACGCUAAUACCGCAUACGACCUACGGGUGAAAGCAGGGGAUCUUCGGACCUUGCGCGAUUGAAUGAGCCGAUGUCGGAGUAGCUAGUUGGCGGGGUAAGGGCCCACCAAGGCGACGAUCCGUCGCUGGUCUGAGAGGAUGAUCAGCCACACUGGAACGGAGACACGGUCCAGACUCCUACGGGAGGCAGCGGGGGGGAAUAUUGGACAAUGGGCGCAAGCCGGAUCCAGCCAUACCGCGUGGGUGAAGAAGGCCUUCGGGUUGUAAAGCCCUUUUGUUGGGAAAGAAAUCCAGCUGGCUAAUACCCGGUUGGGAUGACGGUACCCAAAGAAUAAGCACCGGCUAACUUCGUGACAGCAGCCGCCGUAA